ACUACGCUGGCGGCGUGCCUAAUACAUGCAAGUCGAACGGGAUUCUUUGAUCAGCUUGCUGAGAGAAGGAUCUAGUGGCGGACGGGUGAGUAACGCGUGGGAAUCUGCCUCUUACUGGGGGAUAACAGUGGGAAACUACUGCUAAUACCGCAUAGGAUCUUCGGAUGAAAGGUGCAACUGCACCGGUAAGAGAUGAGCCCGCGUCCCAUUAGCUAGUUGGUGAGGUAAAGGCUCACCAAGGCGACGAUGGGUAGCCGGCCUGAGAGGGUGAACGGCCACACUGGGACUGAGACACGGCCCAGACUCCUACGGGAGGCAGCAGUAGGGAAUCUUCCGCAAUGGGCGCAAGCCUGACGGAGCGACGCCGCGUGAGUGAUGAAGGCCUUCGGGUCGUAAAGCUCUGUUCUUGAGGACGAAUAAGCCAGGGAGUGGAAAGCCCUGGUGAUGACUGUACUCAAGGAGAAAGCUCCGGCUAACUACGUG
rnacentral:rRNA from 1 species